UACGUAGGGACCAAGCGUUGUUCGGAUUUACUGGGCGUAAAGGGCGCGUAGGCGGCGUGGUAAGUCACUUGUGAAAUCUCUGAGCUUAACUCAGAACGGCCAAGUGAUACUGCUGUGCUAGAAUGCAGAAGGGGCAAUCGGAAUUCUUGGUGUAGCGGUGAAAUGCGUAGAUAUCAAGAGGAACACCUGAGGUGAAGACGGGUUGCUGGGCUGACACUGACGCUGAGGCGCGAAAGCCAGGGGAGCAAACGGG
rnacentral:rRNA from 1 species